GUGGGGAAUUGUUCGCAAUGGGCGCAAGCCUGACGACGCAACGCCGCGUGGAGGAUGAAGACCUUCGGGUCGUAAACUCCUUUCGACCGAGAUGAAUUCUCGCCGGCCUAACAUGCCGGCGGGGUGACAGUAUCGAGGGAAGCAGCCCCGGCUAACUCCGUGCCAGCAGCCGCGGUAAUACGGGGGGGGCAAGCGUUGUUCGGAAUUACUGGGCGUAAAGGGUUCGUAGGUGGCCGACUAAGUCAGACGUGAAAUCCCUCAGCUUAACUGGGGAACUGCGUCUGAGACUGGCCGGCUUGAGGGCAGGAGAGGAACGUGGAAUUCCAGGUGUAGCGGUGAAAUGCGUAGAUAUCUGGAGGAACACCGGUGGCGAAGGCGGCGUUCUGGACUGCAUCUGACACUGAGGAACGAAAGCCAGGGGAGCAAACGGGAUUAGAUACCCUAGUAGUCC
rnacentral:rRNA from 1 species